rnacentral:ncRNA from 1 species
UCAACGGGGUGCCAAACAUUAUUUAGGCUGAGAAUUAACCCGUAGAACCUGAUCCGGGCAAUGCCGGCGUAGGGAUUUGAG